rnacentral:rRNA from 1 species
GGUUAAGCGACUAAGCGUACACGGUGGAUGCCCUGGCAGUCAGAGGCGAUGAAGGGCGUGCUAAUCUGCGAUAAGCGCCGGUAAGGUGAUAUGAACCGUUAUAACCGGCGAUACCCGAAUGGGGAAACCCAGUGUGAUUCGUCACACUAUCAUUAACUGAAUCCAUAGGUUAAUGAGGCGAACCGGGGGAACUGAAACAUCUAAGUACCCCGAGGAAAAGAAAUCAACCGAGAUUCCCCCAGUAGCGGCGAGCGAACGGGGAGGAGCCCAGAGCCUGAAUCAGCAUGUGUGUUAGUGGAAGCGUCUGGAAAGGCGCGCGAUACAGGGUGACAGCCCCGUACACAAAAGCGCAUGUGCUGUGAGCUCGAUGAGUAGGGCGGGACACGUGGUAUCCUGUCUGAAUAUGGGGGGACCAUCCUCCAAGGCUAAAUACUCCUGACUGACCGAUAGUGAACCAGUACCGUGAGGGAAAGGCGAAAAGAACCCCGGCGAGGGGAGUGAAAAAGAACCUGAAACCGUGUACGUACAAGCAGUGGGAGCACCCUUUGGGUGU